rnacentral:lncRNA from 1 species
GGAGGCGUGCAAGGUACCAGCCCCAGAUCAGAAAAACAUUAUCGCAGCUGCGAUAAAGAAUGGAGCCAGAUCCCAAACUACAGGACACUUGGCAGCCUCCAUUGAAACCGGGAGAGUGAAGCAGAGGACUGGGUCCACGGUGUUUGCGGUUGUUUUUAUAGGCAAAGGAGGAAUCUGGACCAAUACUUUCAGCAAAUGCAUCAUGCUGUCAUCCAGAUGUGCUCCUCUUCGUAAUGCCCCCCUGCUGGUAUUUUUCUCCAUCUCCUCAUGCAUGACCCUGCUGCAUGCCCUGCACAGAGGGAGAGCGCUGCCAAAAAGAGACCGCUGA